CAGUCACGUGUAAAUCAACAGGCUAAAUAAAAUCACAGAUGUCCUGUGUUAAUAGUAAUUGUAACUCUAAUGUCGUUGGGGAAAAACCAAUAUAAUUUUAAUAGUGCUUUACUUCCUGUUCCUGACUUUGUUGACCUAUCUUUCUGGACUUGUCUGAAUUGAAUAUUUCCUCUUUCCUUUAUUUCUGCUGUUGGAUCAAACAUUUUCUUUGUCUCUAACAUUUUAAUCAGGAGCAACUACCACACCUUUCCUUCUGUAGUGCAUCCACAUUUGUUAUAAAAAUUUGUUCUGAACAUAUGAUUUCAGAAUCAUGAGGUGCUAUAUCUUGGUGAAGUUCGAUGUGCUAUGAACGUAUGACCAACUAAGCUGACAAAAGUUUGGAAUGCACAAUAUAAUUAAGUGUCAUCUGGGAAAAAAUUGUUAAAUGUCAAUUUCUUCUUUCAUAUAGGCUUUAUCCCAUUUCUGAAACUUUUACCUAACUCUGAGAGUUUUCUUUAGAGUUUAAAUAUAGGUGUAAAACACAAAGUCUGAAUGUUUGUUUGCAAUUCUAAAUAUUUCAUAUGAGACCAAGUGUUUUCCAGGCAAUGCUAUACGAGGGAGAAUAAAAGCUGCAUUUUGCAAAGGUGUAUCACCACAAAAUUGGUUUAAUAAUCUGGGUUCCACUCUUACCAUUACAUUAGUUUUAUUUUCCAAAGCCUAUACACUCAGAACUCAGGCUCAUUCAAACAGCCUCUCAAAACCAGCUGACUAAACCUUUCCAUGAGCCGGGGACACCCGGAUGACCCUCUGUCUCCACCUGAGGGAACAACAUGCUCUUUGAGUCCAGAAAGCGGACAGACGGAUUGUUGAUGCAUUCAGAAUGGCCUGACUCACCGUUUCCUGAGAAAGCUCCACUCCCAGUGCUGAACUGGCUGUCAUUCAGAGAAGGUCACGUCUUGGUGGUCAGUUGGCGCCAUGUACAGCUGAGAAGAAACAAAGGCUUUCAACAACACGUGAAGAGACCUAAAUAGGAAUUAUCCUAUGCUUUCUGUCAAAAUAAUUUGUGACAUAACUCGGGGGGCACAUUCCAGGAAGGGUCACCCAGCUUGUUGGGAAGCACCAGUGAGGAAGGGGAAACAAACACCAUAAGGGGUCAUCCAGUUUCACCCAAGCUAAUCCAAGUUUGGCAUGGGUUUUUUCGACUGGCGGAGCACUUAGAGCUGCUGAGGAACCCCUGAAGAUUCUUCCACCAAACUGAACAUUUUCUGAAGUGGACAACUGUGAUGAUCCGAUCACCUGGCUGUGUUUAAGAGGUCUAUUGAGGAGCAAAGUUCUGGAGAAAGAUGCUUCAUCACAUUUCCUGUCUCAACUUAAUCUUAAUCUCUAUUCUUUUGGGACAGCAUUGAGUCAUGGACAGAAAAGUACACGCAAAGCAACUUGCAGUUGGUAUUGACAGAAUGAGUCAGUAAGUUAAAAAAACAAGAGCACCGGAGGUAGUUUUGUCUAAAAACUUACAUUUGAAAAUUCCACCUCGCUGAACAAUCUUAACUCAUAAAGAAGUGUUAGAUGUUUACUGCCAGCUCAGCGUCUCCAUUGGUAGUCACAGUGGUGCUCUGGAAAUGAAUCUUUGGGAACAAGAAGAUAGAAUCUAGCAUGAGUCACGCACAGAACAAACUCAUCAGUCCACAAUUUGCAUGAGUCUAGUUUUUAAGAGACGAGCAAGGAAAAGAUGUUUUGAGAGCUACUACAGAUAUUUAGCACACAUGUGAAAGUAUAAAAAAACAUAAAACAAAUAAAUGUAUUUUGCAAUUCAGAUUGGGGCGUCUAGUGCAGAAAUCGCACACUUCACCUUUAACUUCUGAAGGACCUCGGGUCCUUUCUCAGUUUGGAUAUCCACAGGAAUGCUUUAACCGAGUCAGUUUCGUUUGCUGCGCAAAUAAUAAAUAUCCCCCAAUGCCAGAAGCUUCAUUUAAAUGGAUUCCUUAUCACUGCGGUGGCUGCCUUUCAGAAAAUUAUUUUAUUUCUAAAAUAGUCUUGAGCUAAUAUUUACAGAUGCUAAAGAAGGCACUUGUGGUGAAAGAGAGCACAAGAUGAGCCCUAGCUCUGAAUUAAGCUUCCAGAUACCACACAGCUCCAAAACGGAUGAAACUGGCCACUGACGCAAAUCCUGAGAGACAGUGUGCAAUCCAAGACACCGCCACAUAUUUCCCUCCUCUGUGUGUCUCUGUCUUGUAUUUUUUUAUGUCUCUGUUAACAGGACUUCUCAGAAGUGAAUGCAAUGUGUCAUUAUGUUACAUUACAGGUUCUUUAAA